GGUUAAGCGACUAAGCGUACACGGUGGAUGCCCUGGCAGUCAGAGGCGAUGAAGGACGUGCUAAUCUGCGAUAAGCGUCGGUAAGGUGAUAUGAACCGUUAUAACCGGCGAUUUCCGAAUGGGGAAACCCAGUGUGAUUCGUCACACUAUCAUUAACUGAAUCCAUAGGUUAAUGAGGCGAACCGGGGGAACUGAAACAUCUAAGUACCCCGAGGAAAAGAAAUCAACCGAGAUUCCCCCAGUAGCGGCGAGCGAACGGGGAGGAGCCCAGAGCCUGAAUCAGUGUGUGUGUUAGUGGAAGCGUCUGGAAAGGCGCGCGAUACAGGGUGACAGCCCCGUACACAAAAAUGCACAUGCUGUGAGCUCGAUGAGUAGGGCGGGACACGUGGUAUCCUGUCUGAAUAUGGGGGGACCAUCCUCCAAGGCUAAAUACUCCUGACUGACCGAUAGUGAACCAGUACCGUGAGGGAAAGGCGAAAAGAACCCCGGCGAGGGGAGUGAAAAAGAACCUGAAACCGUGUACGUACAAGCAGUGGGAGCACGCUUAGGCGUGUGACUGCGUACCUUUUGUAUAAUGGGUCAGCGACUUAUAUUCUGUAGCAAGGUUAACCGAAUAGGGGAGCCGAAGGGAAACCGAGUCUUAACUGGGCGUUAAGUUGCAGGGUAUAGACCCGAAACCCGGUGAUCUAGCCAUGGGCAGGUUGAAGGUUGGGUAACACUAACUGGAGGACCGAACCGACUAAUGUUGAAAAAUUAGCGGAUGACUUGUGGCUGGGGGUGAAAGGCCAAUCAAACCGGGAGAUAGCUGGUUCUCCCCGAAAGCUAUUUAGGUAGCGCCUCGUGAAUUCAUCUCCGGGGGUAGAGCACUGUUUCGGCAAGGGGGUCAUCCCGACUUACCAACCCGAUGCAAACUGCGAAUACCGGAGAAUGUUAUCACGGGAGACACACGGCGGGUGCUAACGUCCGUCGUGAAGAGGGAAACAACCCAGACCGCCAGCUAAGGUCCCAAAGUCAUGGUUAAGUGGGAAACGAUGUGGGAAGGCCCAGACAGCCAGGAUGUUGGCUUAGAAGCAGCCAUCAUUUAAAGAAAGCGUAAUAGCUCACUGGUCGAGUCGGCCUGCGCGGAAGAUGUAACGGGGCUAAACCAUGCACCGAAGCUGCGGCAGCGACGCUGAUGCGUUGUUGGGUAGGGGAGCGUUCUGUAAGCCUGUGAAGGUGUACUGUGAGGUAUGCUGGAGGUAUCAGAAGUGCGAAUGCUGACAUAAGUAACGAUAAAGCGGGUGAAAAGCCCGCUCGCCGGAA
rnacentral:rRNA from 1 species